AUGACAGUCCAAUCGAAGGGGAUCCUAGUGAUCCUGAGUUUAUUGAGUGUGAUUAUUGAAGUCCAAUCUAGUAUUACUGAUACAUCAGAUUUAGAUUUAUCUGAAGACACAGAAAUAGUCACCACAACCACUAGGCGUAUUUUACCUGAUCGUUGUUUAGUUAAAACAGAUUCAGGCCCAUGUAAACAUUAUAUUCACAAGUGGACCUUCAACAAAGCUGAAGGAAAAUGUAGGACCUUCGUUUACGGUGGUUGUUUGGGAAAUGAAAACAGAUUUAAUUCACAGCUCGAAUGUCUCCACUAUUGCAUUGGUGGACCCAACUAUACAUUAAAUGCAUACAUGGUCACUAAAGGAAGUGUUUUUGUCACCACAACUACUACUACAACGAGUACAACACCAACAACAACACUACGUACUCUUCCACCCACUUUAUUCCCUCCAGAACCAACCAGGCCUCCUGUACCCAAGUAUCAACGAGGAAAAGAAUUGACAUUUAUGGAGUCUGGAUAUGAAAAAACAUUUAUGUUUGCGGAAAGUAACACUUUUAUCCAACUUGAUGGAAGUGGAAUUAAAACCUUCCAAUUGCGAUUGUGUCGAGAAAUAUCGUUCCUAUUUCGUACCAAGUUACCUCAUGGUCUGCUCGUUUAUCACAGUGUAAAAGACCGCCCGGAGAGUUUAGACCCUUAUGCUCUUUACGUAAUCGUUGAGAAAGGUCAACUCAAGGUUGUUCAUGUCUUUGGGAAGUUCUCUACAAGUUUAACAGUUGGAGAAGGGCUUAAUAGAGAUGAGUGGCACAGCGUGUUGGUUCGUAUUGAUGUUCAUGGAGCCAAACUUAUUGCUCGAGUUAAUGAUAAACAGGAAGAAACAACUCUCGAGGUGUUGGAACGAGUUGUUAAUUAUGGAGUGUCAGAAGACUUGGCUUCAGUUGUGCUAAUUGGAGGAUUAAGCUCCGAGGAAAGAUUGCAUGGUGUCAAAUACAUUAUUGAAUCAUUUGUAGGUUGUAUUAAAGAUAUGGUAUUGAGUUCAGGAAAGUCAGCCAGCGAUUUAUUACCAAUUCAGCCAUUGAUAGCAACUAAACAUGAAAAUGUGAAAGAAGGAUGCAUCAACAAAUGCUGGACAAGAGAAAAUUUAUGUUUUAUUGGCAGUCAAUGUGUUAACCAUUAUAACAGUUUAACAUGUGAUUGCUUUGGAACCAGAUACGAAGGAGAACGAUGUGAUGUUUACACUGCUACGAUUUUAACAUUAAGAGGUUCUUCAUAUGUAUCUUUUCGAGUUUAUGACUGGAAAGACAGAGUUCAUUCAUCAAUGAACCGAAUAAGCUUAAUGUUCAAGACUCGUUGGGAUGAUUCCGUACUAUUCUAUGCAUCUGGAGAAAUAGAUGGUACUCCUCAUUAUGUAGCUGCAUCAAUAAUCAAUAGAAAAAUCCAUAUAGAAAUAGAUUUUGGUCAUAACACAAAAAUGAAUACAACUCUUGGAGAAGAUGUGUCUUCAAAUCUUUGGAGUAAUUUAACAAUAUUUCAUAACGGUUCACAAAUCUUUGUGAGUCUUGAUUUUGAGCAUAAAGUACUCGAAAUACCUGGUAACAAUCAUUACAUGAUCAUUGAUCCGGAAAUUUAUAUUGGAGGAGGUCCAGAAUUGCACAAAAAGAAAGGGUUAAAGUCCUACAAUAAUUUCGCAGGAGUGUUGAAGUAUGUUUUCUUCAACGAUAAAUCCAUAAUAUACGAAUUGAAGAAAUCAAAUCCAAUGGUUCAUUACAUUGGAGUCCUUGAACCGGAAUAUUAUGAAGUUGAUGUUGAUGUGAUACCAAUCACAUAUCCUUUUUCCGGAAGUCAUAUUUGGUGGCCAAUAGCUAAAACUAAUUCUCUAUUACUUCAUUUCGAUUUUCAAAGCUCUAAACCUGUCGCUGUUGUUGCUUCUGGCGAUGUAAAAAGUGAUCAAGGUCUUGGAUACUGGGAGUUGAGGCUUGUUAAUGAUGAAAUGCGGUUCCAAUUAAUACCAGUUCUAACAGAUAACAUUACUGUAUCAGCAUCAGUUAAAUUCCCACCGAACAAUCGAACAUCCUGGCAUGCAGUUGAAUUAAAUUAUACCAAAGGAGAACUUAAUAUUAUUGUGGAUUAUAGACAUAAACAGGGAAAGCUUUUUGCGAUGACAUUUGAACUUGGUGACAAAGUUAUUAUUGGAAGUGGAAAAAGUGAUGCAGGUUUAGUUGGCUGCAUGAGAGAUAUAAAAGUUAACGAUGAAAUAAUAGAACCUAGAUACGUAAUAAAUACUGAACGAGUCGUGGGCGAGGUUGCUUUAGACAACUGUCAAUUCGUUGAUCCUUGUACAAGGCCGAAUACAUGUGAACAUGGUGGGAAAUGUUCCGUAAAGGAAAAUAAAAUUACUUGUGAUUGCACUGAUACUGGUUACAUUGGAAAAAAUUGUCAUUUUGCACAAUAUCGAAAGACUUGUGAAGAAUUAGCUCUUUUAGGAUAUACCCAAGAUGAUGUCUAUAAAAUUGAUAUUGAUGGAAAUGGUAAAUUUCCACCAGCUUUAGUGAAAUGUGAAUUUCAAUCAAUUGAAGAUGCAACAAAAACAAUUGUCGAGCACAAUUUACCAUCUCAAGUAGAUGUUCGGUCUAUCGCUGAAGAUGACUUCUCAUUUAAUAUUACUUAUCGUCAAUUCACUGCUGAAAUGCUGCAAGAACUAAUUUCUCAUUCAUUGUACUGCAGUCAAUAUGUCAAGUAUGAUUGCUAUAAAGCACCAUUGGAUCUUCACAGUGCUACUUGGUUUCUCGGUUCAAAGGAAACCAUCGUUGAUUAUAUUGGAAAUGUUAACCGAGGAUCUUGUCCUUGUGGAAUGAACAGAACCUGCGUCAAUCCAGACUUAAGUUGUAAUUGUGAUGUUUCUGCGGGAAAAUGGCUUUCAGAUGAAGGUUAUUAUGAAACUCCAGAAUCCUUAGGCAUCACUGGAAUGGUUUUUCUUCAGCAAAAGGAACUUGAAGAAGAUGCUCAAGGAAGGAUUACUCUUGGACCAUUAGAAUGCGUUGAAACAAAUACACAAAAGUAUGUCGUCACUUUCACAACAUCACAAUCUUACAUUGAAGUGCCAGGAUGGAGAAAAGGUGACAUUGCUUUUAGCUUUCGAACGACUGGAGAAAAAGCAAUUCUUUUAUAUCAACCACCUAUCAGAAGCAAUUAUCCAUCAUUCAUGGUAGUUUUAACGUCAGAUUAUCGACUUACUUUUAAUUUUACUCUUAAUACUGGCACAAAUAGAGAAAUGGAAGUAAAAAGUCGACGAAAAUUAAAUAAUGGGGAAUGGCAAAAAAUUUGGAUUGAUUACAAUGAUUAUCAUGUUCGGUUUAUGAUUAAUACUGAUUUCCAAAUGGUUGAAUUACUUCCUGAAGAAGAAUUUGGUCCUUUUGAGGGAUCUAUGUUUAUUGGAGGUGCAACUGCAGAAUAUUUGAAGACUUCAGAAGUACAACAAGGAUUAAUUGGCUGCUUCCGAGGCCUUGUAGUUAAUGGAGAGAUCUUAGAUAUUCACAGCUACAUGUCAGUUCAUUUGUCUGAAAUUAUAAAAGAUUGCAAGCCUUCCUGUCAGCCAAAUAAAUGUCAAAAUGGUGCGAGAUGUGUUGAAUUAUGGAGUAAUUUCGAGUGUGUUUGCGAAAAUAAAUGGGCUCAUCAAGGAACUUUUUGUGAAACAAACAUUAACAAUAAAGCGUUGACGUUUACAUCACCUGGGGCAUUCCUGAAGAAAAACUACUUCGGCACGAGUGAGGACGAAGAGAAAUUGUUGCUGAAAAGUAUGCUGCUGGAGAACAUUCUGAUAAAUCUGAGGACUUACGACACCCACUCGCUCAUCCUUUACGCCAACGAUCAUCUCAACAACUUUGCUCAUCUCUAUAUUUCCAAUGGGUCCAGCAUUGUCUAUCUCUUUAACGCCGGGAACGAGAUCAAGAAUAUCACCGUCCAGUAUCCAGGUGUAAAUACAGGGAUUUCGGUUCAGAUUGCGAUCGUCAGGGGUGAGACAUCAACUACCCUUCAUGUCAAUGAUCACAAUAUCACUUUGGAUGCAGUACCGUUACUGUUGGAUUCGUAUUCCAAUAAACCUUGGAUCAAUCCAGAAAAAGAAGUAUUGGCUCCUCAAAGGCCUCCUGCACCUCCAACUGAUUACUUUCAGGUAAACUUGGGUGGCUUUGAUCCUGAUAAUCUUCUCCGAGUUGGAGUGGAAGGACAACUUAUUCAAGGAUACGUUGGUUGUCUUCGAGGAUUAAUGAUUGGAGAAUACUUGGUUGACCUACCAAAUUUAGCUAGUGAAGCUAAUCACGAAGGAAGUAAAGGAGUUUUACCUAAUUGUCAAAUGAAAUGCGAUACUACACCAUGCAAAAAUCUUGGAAUUUGUACAGAAGACUUUGGAAGGCAAGAAUCUUCAUGUAAUUGUGAAUUAACUUCAUAUUUUGGAGAACAUUGUGCUGACGAAAAAGGUGCAGAUUUCAGCGGUGAAAGUGUGCUUCAACGAGCAUUUGAGUUUGAAGGAGAAGUGAAACAGGUCAAAGUUCAAUUAGCAUUUUCUACAAACGAUCUACGUCAAAGAACAUCAGCUUUAUUAUUAUUACAAGCUGCAAAUAAAAGUUAUUAUCUUUUGGUGGCAUUAACCUCUGAAGGUCAACUGAUUUUUGAAGAAGAUAGAGAUGGUUCAGCUUACGGAGUUCGAUUAAAUGAUAGAAAUUUUUUAAAUGGCGCCAGACAUAGUGUAUAUUACGUUCGAGAAAAUAAAACUGCUACUUUAUUGAUUGAUCGAGAACCAGUACAAUUAUUACCGAUUCCUGUCUUGAGUAUUGGUGAAGACGAUGAUAAUAAUCCAGAAGAAGAAGAAAGUCCUGGAGCGACAGAAAUUCAACUGGGAGGACUUAAUACAACGGAUCAUCGGUUCAGUGCUUAUAAAGGAUACACUGGCUGUCUCAGCAACAUUGUGGUAUCUAUUAAUGGUGGUGCUACAAUGAAACCUCUCGAAGAAUACAUGGUAUUUACAAAAAAAGGAAGUGAAACUGUAAGAGCAAGUAUUCCUGCUGGAGUAAGAAGUGCGCAAUGUGCAGCAUUUCAUUUACAACCUCGAGGAUUGGAUCCUCCUAGAAAUGAUAGUAUGGGCCGUGACAGAGCUUGGGUAGAAGAUCCUCCAGCAAGAGUUCCGUAUAAAUCACUUUAUAAUGAUGAAACGAAAGAAGAGCAAGGUGCAACAACGUAUAUAUUUAUAGCCUUAUGCUGUAUAUUUGUGUCAGCAGUAAUUGGAUGUGCUUAUGAAGUUAUACGAAGUGCAAGACGAGAUCGUAAACGUAGAAGAGCAAGAGCUGCUGCUGCAGUUUCAGGAAGUGGAUCGCCUGGAGGAUCACAAAGAUGGCAACCGGCUUAUUCAGAUUCAGUUGUCGGACCUUCUGGGGCUAAAACAGUAGGAUUUAAAACAGUUAUUGAAGAUGAAAAGAAACCUAAUGGAACGCAUGCAAAGGGAGUUACUAAAGAAUAUAAACCUCUUCCUAACUCGGAGUUAAAGAAAGAUUUAGUUAAUGAUAAAAAAGUUAAUAUCAAAGAAGAAGAAGCAGAAAAGAAGGAUCUUCUUGGGGUAAAUACAACUGUAUCGAAACCUGCGAAACCGAAUCCUUUUUCAAUGGAAGACUUAACAGAGGAGCCAGAGCUUGAAGAGCGCGAACAGGAAGAAGAUGAAGAAUUAGAAGAGGAGGAAGAAGAAGUUGCAGAAGAAAGAAAAAACAUGAUGAACAGUCCAGAAGCUGAAACACUUGUAAAACCAACUCCGAUUAAAACUUGGUCUAAAACGAGUAUAGAAGGGAAUGUGAUACCAUUAAACUCCAUUUCCAAUCAAGAUGAAACAAAUGCAACGUUUGAACUUUAGAGGUAGUUCGUAUUUUUGGAGUUAAACCAUCCUCAAAAUCACAAGCUCUGAGCCCAGAUGGACAGAAAUUUAAAAUGCUCAAUACGACUCCAAUAUUUCUGGGUGAAGACAUGCGUACUUUUGCAAAUCCUUUGAGUU
rnacentral:misc_RNA from 1 species